rnacentral:rRNA from 1 species
UACAGAGGGUGCUAGCGUUGUUCGGAAUCAUUGGGCGUAAAGGGCGUGUAGGCGGUUUGUUAAGUCAUGUGUGAAAUCCCUCGGCUCAACCGGGGAACGACGCAUGAAACUGGCAAGCUAGAGUACCAAAGAGGGGGGUGGAAUUCCCGGUGUAGCGGUGAAAUGCGUAGAUAUCGGGAGGGACACCUGUGGCGAAGGCGGCCCCCUGGUUGGAUACUGACGCUGAGACGCGAAAGCGUGGGGAGCAAACAGG